rnacentral:rRNA from 1 species
GAACGGGUGAGUAACGCGUAGGUAACCUACCUCAUAGCGGGGGAUAACUAUUGGAAACGAUAGCUAAUACCGCAUAAAAUUGCUUAACACAUGUUAGGCAAUUGAAAGGAGCAAUUGCUCCACUAGGAGAUGGACCUGCGUUGUAUUAGCUAGUUGGUGAGGUAAUGGCUCACCAAGGCAUCGAUACAUAGCCGACCUGAGAGGGUGAUCGGCCACACUGGGACUGAGACACGGCCCAGACUCCUACGGGAGGCAGCAGUAGGGAAUCUUCGGCAAUGGGGGAAACCCUGACCGAGCAACGCCGCGUGAGUGAAGAAGGUUUUCGGAUCGUAAAGCUCUGUUGUAAGAGAAGAACGUUGAUGUGAGUGGAAAGUACAUCAAGUGACGGUAUCUUACCAGAAAGGGACGGCUAACUACGUGCCAGCAGCCGCGGUAAUACGUAGGUCUCGAGCGUUGUCCGGAUUUAUUGGGCGUAAAGCGAGCGCAGGCGGUUAAAUAAGUCUGAAGUAAAAGGCAGUGGCUCAACCAUUGUAUGCUUUGGAAACUGUUUAACUUG